rnacentral:tRNA from 1 species
GCCGCGGUAGCUCAGUUGGUAGAGCAUCGCACUGAAAAUGCGAGGGUCCCCAGUUCGAGUCUGGGCUGCGGCA